UCGCUUUGGCAGCUCACUUCGUAAAAUUGGAACGACACAGAGAUUAGCAUGGCCUCUGUGCAAGGAUGACAUAGGAAGCAUUUCAUUUAAAAAUAAAUUUU
ensembl:snRNA U6 U6 spliceosomal RNA